GCCCGUUUAGUGUAAUGGAAAACACGUCCUGACAGUAUAACACCGGCGCCUUCGCCACCUUCACUGAGUGGUAGGAAUAAGACCGACGACAUCAUCAGGGAGAUCUUGGUUCGAUUCCAAGGAUGGGUA